GUGCCAGCAGCCGCGGUAAUACGGGGGGUGCAAGCGUUAUUCGGAUUUAUUGGGCGUAAAGAGCGCGUAGGCGGUUUAUCAAGUCAGAUGUGAAAGCCCUGGGCUCAACCUGGGAAGUGCAUUUGAAACUAGUAGACUUGAGUAUGGGAGAGGGGAGUGGAAUUCCUGGUGUAGAGGUGAAAUUCGUAGAUAUCAGGAGGAACACCGGUGGCGAAGGCGACUUCCUGGACCAAUACUGACGCUGAGGCGCGAAGGCGUGGGGAGCAAACAGGAUUAGAUACCCUGGUAGUCCACGCAGUAAACGGUGAUCACUAGGUGUAGCGGGUAUUGACCCCUGCUGUGCCGCAGUUAACGCAUUAAGUGAUCCGCCUGGGGAGUACGAUCGCAAGGUUAAA
rnacentral:rRNA from 1 species